AGUGCCAGCUGCGGGGCAGCAUGCACACCACAGCAACGACCGGCCCGCCACACCGACGCCGCGGGGACGCUUGACCAGACAGACAGUAUCAUCAUGACCAUUUCCUCCACACUCCUGGCCCUGGUGUUGAGAUGCCCCUCUGCCUCUGGAUCUACAGCCAUGCCUGGAUCAAUACCCCUCUGGUGCAAUUGCUCCCCCUAGGGGCAGUCACCCUGACUCUCUGCAGCACUCUCAUCCCUAUUGGGCUAGGCGUCUUCAUUCGCUACAAAUACAACCGCGUGGCUGACUACAUCGUGAAGGUUUCCCUGUGGUCUCUGCUUGUGACCCUGGUGGUUCUUUUCAUAAUGACUGGCACCAUGCUGGGACCUGAACUGCUGGCAAGCAUUCCCACAACUGUUUACGUGGUCGCCAUUUUUAUGCCUCUGGCGGGCUACGCCUCGGGUUAUGGCUUAGCUACCCUCUUCCACCUCCCGCCCAACUGCAAGAGGACUGUGUGUCUGGAAACAGGAAGUCAGAACGUGCAGCUCUGCACUGCGAUUCUCAAACUUCCCGCCUCGCUUUAUAGGUAGCAUGUACAUGUUCCCUCUGCUCUACGCCCUCUUCCAGUCUGCCGAGGCAGGGGUCUUCGUGUUGAUCUACAAAAUGUACGGAAGUGAGAUACUGCACAAGCGAGAGGCCCUAGACGAAGACGAAGACACCGAUAUUUCUUAUAAGAAACUGAAAGAAGAGGAAAUGGCAGACACCUCCUAUGGCACCGUGGGGACGCAUGACUUAGUGAUGAUGGAGACCACCCAGACCGCCCUCUGACUGAGGAGAUACACGGGAGCUGAAACAUCACUUCCUAUUUGUGACCAUUGGUAGCGAGUAUGGUUCGCAUCCGGGAUAAAGAUGGGUUGACAUUUCCUGUAACAGAUUUGCUCUUCCCACUGUAAUGUAGUAUCUCAGUAUUACCCAUGUGUUUUUCUAACUCAACAGAGUGUCCCAAUAUUGCUUACACCUGGAUCAGCUAAAGUGCCGCGUCCUCUGCUUAAGUAGUGUGCUGUUUGUUUGUUUGUUUUUUGUUUUGUUUUGUUUUUUUCCAUUUCCACCAGCAUUGCUACAGAUAGGAAAUGGGGUUGGAAAUGUUUGUAAAACAGAACCAUGGGUUUGUUCAACUUACAAACAACCGAUUCUGUUCAGGGCGAGCCUGUAUUGAGAAAAGUCCAAAACGGGUCAGUGAAACGACAGGAUAGCAUUGCAUCGUCAAGCCAGAGAAAACCGUAUUAAUGUGUGUGACUACUUGAUCUAGUAUCUAUUGUUAAUGGCCAUCAACAUUGUGCAGGGGUGAAAGGCAUUUUUCCCCAUAUGUUUCCUGUAUGUGUAUAAACGCAUCUCAGCUCCA